GCUGAUUGGACUCCUGCUGCAGAUUAAGACAUCUUAUUAUCACCUCACUACAUGAGAUCCUUGCAGAAAAGAAGCUUUCUGCCUCAUCUCACGUUUAUGCUAUUGUAUAUAUACUUGUUAUAUUCUGGAACAAGUUUCUGGCAACAUGCUACGCAUGAGUGGAAGGAGGCAGAGAAGACUUCUUGGAGGACUGAGAGCUGGGACAGGCACUGUGGCUGCUGCAAGCCCUCUGAGUGGUCCUGUUUUCUGCAAACAAGACAAAGCAAGGAAAUGGGCCAUCAUCUCUGCCUUUCAGUGCAGCAUGUCCUCUGUCCUCUUGACAGUGGCCAAGAGCAGAUGCCCAAGAGGAGCUAUAAGAACAAGACAAGUGCAUAAAAUACUUUCCUGAAUGCUCUCCCAGCCUGCAGCCAUUUUAGGCUUGGAGGUUUCCUGAGCUGGACAAGGUUUCUAUGGAGGUUGUAACCCUUCAUGAAUUUCUCUUCCUCUGGCUUUCCCUUUGAACUUGUGUGUCUUCCACACAGAGAAUUUUUACAAUUUUAGCAUAUUUGAGGAGCUGAUUGGAUCAAAUAUUUGUUUGCAAUUAAAUAAGAUGGCUUAAUAGUCUAUGAUUUCAAGAUCUCUUUCUGUGUAAGCCUUGUCUCUCUCAUAGCCCUACCACUGUGAUGAGGGCAUUGCCACAGAUUAGACUAUACUGGAAAGUCUUUCCUAGUGGUAUUUGAAGCUGUUCAGUGGAUCUACUUAAUAGCAGGGAGAACAUUCACACUGCUCAGUUUAAAGCAUCUAAUUAAGAUUUCUUACUUGUCAGCUAAUCUCCUUAAGAUUGCUUAAGUAGUUUCUAAUACAGAAUUAUGUGAACUGGAAAUGGAAGGCAGUGCUAUGAAUUGUCAUCUGGAAAAGUCAGGCUC
rnacentral:lncRNA from 1 species